GCAAUAGCACCGCCACCCCUUCCGGCCCAGCGCUGCCAUCUCGUUCGCAACCUCUCCGCUCACGCCGUCGCCCUCUCCCUAGCAAGUCAUCACUGCUCAACCUCCGAUUGGUCCUCUCAGGUGUAGUAUUGCUGUGAAUUUUUCCUGCAACUUGUCCCUGCCGACGUCUGCCGGCUGCUGCACAUCAAGCAACUGGUUUCUGAUGCUUGGGGCUACUCGUUAGCUCUAGGAAAACAGAGGCAGCACGGUGAAGGGAGAGGAGAAAUUAGAGAGGGAGGAAAAAGGAAGAAGGUACCAAAUGAGUGCGGCAUGCAUGGGAAGUGGGAGUAGCAUAAUCUGCAAGAACACACACUUUCUUUUAGACUUGCUUAGUCUAUCUUAAUUAGUUCUUAGAGUAUAAAUGGUUAAACUGGGUUGUUUUAUUCCUUUAAUGGUGAGACAUCUUAUGGUUAGUUGGGUUAAUUUAUUUUCCUGCUGGUAUGGGCUGUGAUACUUAUUCUAUCAAUCAUAUGCUAUUUUGUUAAA